GAAGGCCUUCUGAAAAUGCUGUGAUACUUGUGUGUAUAACAUUUUCUUCCCUCUUCUUCUUUUAUUUUUUUUAAGAAAAGGAAAAAUGUAAAACAUUGCAAUGUGAUUGUCCACUACACCAUCCAUGCUGUGUUUGUGGCUCAAGACUGAGGCAACUGCAGAAGCGUGAAGAAAGCCGUCAGGCCUGAGACAGUGCGUCUCCUCUGGUGGAUUUCUGCAUGGUUUUGGUUUUCAUGGAGCAUCCGAGAGUUCAGAAUGGUGGGGGGAGCCCUGGCAGUUGUUCCUACUGAGUAUUUAUUUACUGGAUUGGGAUUUCAUUGAGUUUUCGGAUGUUUGAGAAAACUGGGCAAAAGCCAUUACUGAGGAGAAAAAGGGAGAAAAUUUUUGUAAGAGAGAAGUAAGAGAAGCCUCUUGUUGUGUUCAUGUAUGCCAAAUAAGAACUUCACACAUCUUGUCUUUGGAACCUGCCCCAGUUCACUGGACAUCUCCACUCUCCAUCUGGGAGAACUGUGUACAGAUGGAAAAGAAAGGGUCAGAUGCAGAGAAUGGAGAUCCAUUUCCCAUGAGCUCAAGCGUUGUAUGAUAUAAUUGUGAAUCUUCAAAUGGGAUUCUCUCUCUCUUUUGGUCUUUCUCUUUUUCCUGCUACUCCUCUUCCCGUUACCCCCUCCUCCCUUCACUCCUCUCUCCCCAUUGUUCAGGUCAUAGAUCCCAGAAGAGCUGACAGAACAGCCAAGCUUGCAGAUGGGGAUGCUUUGGGGGAAGCAGAGCAUUUUGGCUGUGAAGACAGCAGCUGCUCGCAGGGGAACAGUGGCUGAGGGGAAGGUGAGGUGAAAGGCCAAGGCUGUAACUAAAGGGAGCUGGAAGAGGCAACUGCCAAAUGGCCCUGUUCAGGAAGUGAUGGCACCACCAAUAAAUGAGCAGGCAAAGGGAGAUAGGGCAGAGAAAAAAAGUCCCCCACAGAACAAGCCAGUCCAACAUGCUCUUAAUUCAGGGAUGGUUACAUCGGUCUUUUAUUACACCUGAUAUCUGCAUGCCAUCAGUUCUCAUUUGAUGAUAAAAAUCAUCUAAUUGUGCCUGACCUGGGGCUCGCAGCUCAAGAAAAGUUGGAGCUGCUAGAGCAAGUCCAGAGGAGGGCCACAAAGAUGAUCAGAGGAAUGGAGCACCUCUCCUAUGAAGACAGACUGAGGGAGUUGGACUUGUUUCGCUUGGAGAAGAGAAGGCUCCGGGAAGACCUCAUUGCAGCCUUCCAAUACUUGAAGGGAGCUUUUAAAGAGGAGGAGGACAAACUUUAUACACAGUCUGAUAGUGAUAGAACAGUGGGGAUAGGCUUUAUACUAAAAGAGGGGAGAUUUAGGGCAAAUGUUAGGGAGAAAUUCUUUACUCAUAAGGUGGUGAGGUGCUGGAACAGGCUGCCCAGACAGGUUGUGGAUGAAGCAUUCAAGGCCACUUUGGAUAGGGGCUCUGGGUGACAACCCUGCCCAUGGCAAAGGGUUGGAACUGGAUGGGAUUAAAGAUCCCUUCCAACCUAAGCCAUUCUGUGAUUCUAUGACCUCCUGAAUCUAUGAAAUCUCACAAGGAUAAGGAGGCAAUCUGCUGAAAUGAUGCCUGCACAGAAAUAAAGACAUUAACUCCAGAUCAUGCUAUUUACACAGCCAUCAGGAAACAGCAUUUUGACUCAUUAGAAAAAAAUCCAACCAAGAAAUAAUUUUUAUGCAAUGCAAUUGCAUAGCCAGCCAUUCCCCUUUCAGAUCUGCUUUCCCUCCCUGUUACACCUUGUGUGAUGAUGUUCCUUUUUGUUAACAGUGUCCAAAGAAAUAAAGUUUCUGAAGGCUAUUUUGGAGUAGGGUAGAUUUGGUUUUCUUUCACUCCUGCUCAGCUACUUAGCAUUUAUGUUCUUUGGUUUACAAAUUCCCAAAACAUGCCAAUGUCAGCUGCCAAGUCAAUGUGUUGCCACUGAAAUGCCAUCCCUGGCAAGUGAAGUUCUGUCAUUUCGUUCUCCAUUAGAUCUGACUGGAGAAAGUAAGUAUUUAUUGAUUCAUGUUGAAAAUGGAAACCUUUCGAAGAAACUUGCUUUUUAAGUAGAUUGGAUUUUUUUUUUUCCUCUGGCAGUGUUUUCAAACAGGGUGUUCUGAAAAGCUUUGAAACUGUUUGAAUGUGCAAAUGCUCACUAGAUGAGGAGGCUGAUGAGUUACCAUCGGACGGAAGGGAAUUAGAAAUAAAAGCAGUUCUUGGAAAGCUAAAUUGAAACUGAAAGCAUAAAAUCAAUAACUGAAAACUAAGAGAGACCUUUAAAAUAUGAAACAUUUCAAACUAUGAAAGAUUUUGAGAAAAGGCAACUUCUCAUAAAGGUGUUAAUGCUUUAUGAAACUGGUACUUGUUUCAUUAAAACAUCUUUGAACACAAACGUUCUUCUUCCUCUGCAGUUCUGAGUGUGGUAGGGAAACUCCUUCAUGUGACUAGAGAUACCUGGAGUGACCUCACUAGACCAAAAGGCAGAGGGGUUUCUAGCUGGUGUCUGCCAUUGGGUCCUGUGGCAUGGAAAGCAGUAUGACAGCUCCUGUGGUGGUACACAGCCUUGUGUGAGCCGUGACAAUUCAAAAGUGUGUUCUUUUCAGCUGGAGUUUUGAAGGAGCUAUAGCAUUAAGACUGAAAGAAAUUGAAGUCAUUUUGCCGUUUCAUGGACUCUCAACUCUUCUCUAUGCAGCUGGCAUGAAAAUAGUUCUGCCUUGAUGAAGUACUCUCUGAAGGUGUUGGUUGGUUUACAAGCUGUGUACGAGCUGAGUGCUGGCCUGUGUUUGGUGAUUGUGGGAGAGGGUUACGCUCAUUUUUCUUUAUAGCAGGGAAGUGUUAACCCUGGAUCUUUAGGCCCGGUUUGUGAUUUUCCACUCAUUAUAGCACAGCCUCUCAGGCCUGUAUGAGCAUGAAGUGUGUUAAAAGUGUGGGUGUAAGUGCCUGAAGCAGCAGGUGAAUACAGAGCUUUAAUGUCAGACUGGAUUCCUAAAGGGACCACCUGUCCAGACAGCAGUUUUGGUGCACAUCUUUGCCUGAAACAGGGGCAAAACCCCUUGGGAAUUUUUCAGUCUCUUUCUGUGCUGCUCACAGCCUCAGGAGGAGCC
ensembl:lncRNA